CGCAAUGGGCGAAAGCCUGACGGAGCAAUACCGCGUGAGGGAUGAAGGAUUUUGGUCUGUAAACCUCUUUUCUCAAGAAAGAAGUUCUGACGGUACUUGAGGAAUAAGCAUCGGCUAACUCCGUGCCAGCAGCCGCGGUAAUACGGGGGAUGCAAGCGUUAUCCGGAAUCAUUGGGCGUAAAGCGCCUGUAGGUUGUUUAAUAAGUCUGUUGUUAAAGACUAGGGCUCAACCCUGGGAAAGCAAUGGAAACUACUAGACUAGAGUAUGGCAGGGGUAGAGGGAAUUUCUAGUGUAGCGGUGAAAUGCGUAGAUAUUAGAAAGAACACCGGUGGCGAAAGCGCUCUACUGGACCAUUACUGACACUCAGAGGCGAAAGCUAGGGUAGCAAAAGGGAUUAGAUACCCCUGUAGUCCUAGCCGUAAACGAUGGAUACUAGAUGUUGCGCUUAAUGUACAGUGUCCUAGCUAACGCGUUAAGUAUCCCGCCUGGGGAGUACGCUCGCAAGGGUGAAACUCAAAGGAAUUGACGGGGGCCCGCACAAGCGGUGGAGCAUGUGGUUUAAUUCGAUGCAACGCGAAGAACCUUACCAGGGCUUGACAUACUACAAAUUCUUUUGAGAAGAAGAAGUGCCUUCGGGAAUGUAGAUACAGGUGGUGCAUGGCUGUCGUCAGCUCGUGUCGUGAGAUGUUGGGUUAAGUCCCGCAACGAGCGCAACCCUCGCCGUUAGUUGCCAGCAUUUAGUUGGGCACUCUAACGGGACUGCCGGUGAUAAGCCGGAGGAAGGUGGGGACGACGUCAAGUCCUCAUGGCCCUUAUGGGUGGGGCUACACACGUGCUACAAUGGCGGUGACAGUGGGCAGCUACUUCGUGAGAAGAUGCUAAUCCCAAAAAACCGUCUCAGUUCAGAUUGCACUCUGCAACUCGAGUGCAUGAAGUUGGAAUCGCUAGUAAUCGCAGAUCAGCAUGCUGCGGUGAAUACGUUCCCGGGC
rnacentral:rRNA from 1 species